rnacentral:rRNA from 1 species
UACGAAGGGGGCUAGCGUUGUUCGGAAUUACUGGGCGUAAAGCGCACGUAGGCGGAUUGUUAAGUGAGGGGUGAAAUCCCAGGGCUCAACCCCUGGAACUGCCUUUCAUACUGGCAAUCUCGAGUUCGAGAGAGGUAAGUGGAAUUCCGAGUGUAGAGGUGAAAUUCGUAGAUAUUCGGAGGAACACCAGUGGCGAAGGCGGCUUACUGGCUCGAUACUGACGCUGAGGUGCGAAAGCGUGGGGAGCAAACAGG